rnacentral:rRNA from 1 species
UACGUAGGCAGCGAGCGUUGUUCGGAGUUACUGGCGUAAAGCGUGCGUAGUCGGUUAUCUAAGUCGGGUGUGAAAUCCCCGGGCUCAACCUGGGAAUUGCAUUCGAUACUGGAUAGCUAGAGUUCGGCAGAGGGAAGCGGAAUUUCGGGUGUAGCGGUGAAAUGCGUAGAUAUCCGAAGGAACAUCAGUGGCGAAGGCGGCUUCCUGGACCAGAACUGACGAUCAGGCACGAAAGCGUGGGGAGCAAACAGG